GACGAACGCUGGCGGCGUGCUUAACACAUGCAAGUCGAACGGAAAGGCCCUGCUUUUGUGGGGUGCUCGAGUGGCGAACGGGUGAGUAAUACGUGAGUAACCUGCCCUUGACUUUGGGAUAACUUCAGGAAACUGGGGCUAAUACCGGAUAGGAGCUCCUGCUGCAUGGUGGGGGUUGGAAAGUUUCGGCGGUUGGGGAUGGACUCGCGGCUUAUCAGCUUGUUGGUGGGGUAGUGGCUUACCAAGGCUUUGACGGGUAGCCGGCCUGAGAGGGUGACCGGCCACAUUGGGACUGAGAUACGGCCCAGACUCCUACGGGAGGCAGCAGUGGGGAAUAUUGCACAAUGGGCGGAAGCCUGAUGCAGCAACGCCGCGUGCGGGAUGACGGCCUUCGGGUUGUAAACCGCUUUCGCCUGUGACGAAGCGUGAGUGACGGUAAUGGGGAAAGAAGCACCGGCUAACUACGU
rnacentral:rRNA from 1 species